rnacentral:rRNA from 1 species
GACGAACGCUGGCGGCGCGCUUAACACAUGCAAGUCGAACGGAAAGGCCUGCUUUCCCUUGUGGAUUGCGGGUACUCGAGUGGCGAACGGGUGAGUAACACGUGAGUGGUCUGCCCCCAACUUGGGUAUAAGCCUGGGAAACUGGGUCUAAUUCCCGAUAGGACUGCAGGGUGGUGCCUGUGGUGGAAAACGAUUUUCUAGUGGUUGGGGAUGAGCUCGCGGCCUAUCAGCUUGUUGGUGGGGUAAUGGCCUACCAAGGCGGCGACGGGUAGCCGGCCUGGGAGGGUGGACGGCCACAUUGGGACUGAGAUACGGCCCAGACUCCUACGGGAGGCAGCAGUGGGGAAUAUUGCACAAUGGGCGGAAGCCUGAUGCAGCGACGCCGCGUGGGGGAUGACGGCCUUCGGGUUGUAAACUCCUUUCGACCGCGAGGAAGCCACCUGGUUGGAAGGGUGGUGACGGUAGUGGUAGAAGAAGCACCGGCUAACUACGUG